rnacentral:lncRNA from 1 species
UAGCUAACCUUUUUCUAUGAGUUUCAUGCAUUCAUUAUAUUGGAUUGAGGCAUAGUAGAUUACUUUCUAUUUCCUUAUCAUGCUACUGUCGUUUCAUAUCUAUCUAUCUGUAUAUCUAUCUGUGCCUACGUAGACCUAGUGGGGAGAUCGGCGGAGUCAGCGGCCGAACCCACUGGGAACUAUUCGUAGUUCUCACCCCACCUUGUUGCAGGUCCGAGCUCGAGCGCCCCCGGCGAGAAUCGCGGUAAGGGCGUAGCGCCCUAGAGGUUGUAG